UACGAAGGGGGCUAGCGUUGCUCGGAAUGACUGGGCGUAAAGGGCGCGUAGGCGGCUUGCACCGUCGGAUGUGAAAUCCCCGGGCUCAACCCGGGAACUGCGUCCGAUACUGGAAGGCUUGAAUCCGGGAGAGGGAUGCGGAAUUCCAGGUGUAGCGGUGAAAUGCGUAGAUAUCUGGAGGAACACCGGUGGCGAAGGCGGCAUCCUGGACCGGCAUUGACGCUGAGGCGCGAAAGCCAGGGGAGCAAACGGG
rnacentral:rRNA from 1 species